rnacentral:lncRNA from 1 species
AACAGCACCUUUGAUAAAACACAUAGAGAGAAAAAGGAGCCAGGAGUAUACAGAAGGUUUGUAUUUUUUUACUGCACUCAAUAUUAACUUGUAUUUUUCAUUACAUUACAGCAAUGAUGUGAUUGACAUGCUUCUGUUUUUACUUAGAAACAUCAAGGGUAUCUUCUGAGGACGAAUCCCUUGCCUGGCACUCCCCAUGGAGAUCAUCAUCCUCCUCACCCGCCACAAGCACUGCCAACAUUGCUUUUCCAGUGGCUGCCACCACCGCUGCCACCACCGCUGCUUCACUACAAGAAUAUGCUGCAACUACUGAUUCACCAAAGGGUGCUGGGGCCGCAGCCGCCGCAGCCGCCGCAGCCGCCGCAGCCGCCGCAGCCGCCGCAGCCGCCGCAGCCGCCGACGCUGCCGCCACCGCUGCGUCAACUGCUGCUGCCGCUGUGUCAGACAUGGCCACUGCCGCCACCAAAGCUGUGGCAGCAGUCGCCGCCGCUGCUACAACCGCUGUCUCGGCAGCCGCCACCGCCGCUACCUCAGCUGCCUCAGCUGCCUCAGCUGCCUCGGCAGCCGCCACCGCCGCUGCCUCGGCUCCCUCGGCUCCCUCGGCUGCCUCGGCUGCUGCCGCCACCGCUGCUUCCUGUACCCGCCACAGUGGUCCAUCACGGAUGACUGUAUGGAGAAGAAAGAAGGCAAAACAGGAGGAUGCAGAAGCCUUAAAAAAGGAGGAAGGGCGCCAACAACAGCACCCUCAACCUGAAGACCCCUCAGGGCUGGCAACCACACACCGUGGGCCUGUGGCACCGGCCCUGUAUGCCCUGAUCGUCUUUCCUGCCAUGACCUCUGCAGCCUCCACCACCAUCACUGCUUCUCCUGACACAAUCACCACUAUCACCCACCAUGCCAUCUCCAUCACCGCUGCUGCGCCUGCUGCUGCGCCUGCUGCUGCGCCUGCUGCUGCGCCUGCUGCUGCGCCUGCUGCUGCUGCUGCGCCUGCUGCUGCGCCUGCUGCUGCUGCUGCGCCUGCUGCUGCGCCUGCUGCUGCUGCUGCACCUGCUGCUGCUGCUGCUGCUGCUGCUGCUGCUGCUGCUGCUGCUGCUGCUGCUGCUGCUGCUGCUGCUGCUGCUGCUGCUGCUGCUGCUGCUGCUGCUGCUGCUGCUGCACCUGCUGCUGCUGCUGCUGCUGCUGCUGCUGCUGCUGCUGCUGCUGCUGCUGCUGCUGCUGCUGCUGCUGCUCCUGCUGCCGCCGCCGCCGCCGUUCCUCGCUCCACAGCCUGGCAGAGGAGGAUUAGAGAGGAGGAGCUGCGUCGUCAGCGAGAAAGGGGUCUCCCUCUUAAAGAGAGGAAGAUCUUUACACACUUCCGCUGUGGCCGCUGUGGUCAGCCCAAGACCAAACAGUAUGGCCACAGCCGUUACAGGGGAGAGUUCUUCUGUGCCACAUCGGAGGGUCGCUCUGUGGAUGACUGGUUGAAAGAGAAGAGUCGACUGGACCCGAAAUACCAGCAGCCGCGCAGGUGA